AGGCUUUGAUCCUGGCCCAGGACGAACGCUGGCGGCAUGCCUAAUACAUGCAAGUCGAACGCCGACGCACUCUGCUUGCAGAGUGUUGAGGAGUGGCGAACGGGUGAGUAACACGUGGAGAACCUGCCCAUAAGAGGGGGAUAACAUCCGGAAACGGAUGCUAAUACCGCAUAGGUGGCUGGAGCGCAUGCCCUAGUCAUGAAAGACGGCUUCGGCUGUCGCUUAUGGAUGGCUCCGCGGCGUAUUAGCUAGUUGGUGAGGUAAUGGCUCACCAAGGCAGUGAUACGUAGCCGACCUGAGAGGGUGAUCGGCCACACUGGGACUGAGACACGGCCCAGACUCCUACGGGAGGCAGCAGUAGGGAAUCUUCCACAAUGGGCGAAAGCCUGAUGGAGCAAUGCCGCGUGAGUGAAGAAGGUUUUCGGAUCGUAAAGCUCUGUUGUUAGAGAAGAACAAGAGGUGUAGUAACUGGCACCUCCUUGACGGUAUCUUACCAGAAAGUCACGGCUAAUAACGUG
rnacentral:rRNA from 1 species